UAUGGAUUCGACGGGGGUAGUUCGAGCAUGGGUUGCGGGUAGUGGGGACGCGUCCGCUUUAUCAACGCUAAAGCCUAUUAAAUGGCAACCAACGUACAACUUUAGCAGCAGCCUAAGAAACUGUAUGCUAAGCUUCUCUCCAGCAUCGCCUAUGUGCCGGAUGUAGGGGCUCACUCUUAGUAGGCUACGCUGUCGCAUCUCCGCCUGGGGUGUGCUGAAGAAGACAAUCAGGCUGACCUGUAGGAUAGCCGGUUACGGGGCGCUCUUGCA
rnacentral:misc_RNA from 1 species